rnacentral:rRNA from 1 species
UACGGAGGGUGCGAGCGUUUGUCCGGAAUCACUGGGCGUAAAGGGUGCGUAGGCGGGUCUUUAAGUCAGGGGUGAAAUCCUGGAGCUCAACUCCAGAACUGCCUUUGAUACUGAAGAUCUUGAGUUCGGGAGAGGUGAGUGGAACUGCGAGUGUAGAGGUGAAAUUCGUAGAUAUUCGCAAGAACACCAGUGGCGAAGGCGGCUCACUGGCCCGAUACUGACGCUGAGGCACGAAAGCGUGGGGAGCAAACAGGG